UGAGUUGUGGCUUAGUGGUAGAACAUUUGGUUUGCAUGCAGAGCGUCCCUGGUUCAAUCCCUGGCAACCAG